UCUACAGGCUUAACACAUGCAAGUCGAGGGGCAGCAUGGUCUUAUCUUGCUAAGGCCGAUGGCGACCGGCGCACGGGUGAGUAACACGUAUCCAACCUGCCGUCUACUCUUGGACAGCCUUCUGAAAGGAAGAUUAAUACAAGAUGGCAUCAUGAGUCCGCAUGUUCACAUGAUUAAAGGUAUUCCGGUAGACGAUGGGGAUGCGUUCCAUUAGAUAGUAGGCGGGGUAACGGCCCACCUAGUCUUCGAUGGAUAGGGGUUCUGAGAGGAAGGUCCCCCACAUUGGAACUGAGACACGGUCCAAACUCCUACGGGAGGCAGCAGUGAGGAAUAUUGGUCAAUGGGCGAGAGCCUGAACCAGCCAAGUAGCGUGAAGGAUGACUGCCCUAUGGGUUGUAAACUUCUUUUAUAAAGGAAUAAAGUCGGGUAUGGAUACCCGUUUGCAUGUACUUUAUGAAUAAGGAUCGGCUAACUCCGUGCCAGCAGCCGCGGUAAUACGGAGGAUCCGAGCGUUAUCCGGAUUUAUUGGGUUUAAAGGGAGCGUAGAUGGAUGUUUAAGUCAGUUGUGAAAGUUUGCGGCUCAACCGUAAAAUUGCAGUUGAUACUGGAUAUCUUGAGUGCAGUUGAGGCAGGCGGAAUUCGUGGUGUAGCGGUGAAAUGCUUAGAUAUCACGAAGAACUCCGAUUGCGAAGGCAGCCUGCUAAGCUGCAACUGACAUUGAGGCUCGAAAGUGUGGGUAUCAAACAGGAUUAGAUACCCUGGUAGUCCACACGGUAAACGAUGAAUACUCGCUGUUUGCGAUAUACUGCAAGCGGCCAAGCGAAAGCGUUAAGUAUUCCACCUGGGGAGUACGCCGGCAACGGUGAAACUCAAAGGAAUUGACGGGGGCCCGCACAAGCGGAGGAACAUGUGGUUUAAUUCGAUGAUACGCGAGGAACCUUACCCGGGCUUAAAUUGCAGAUGAAUUACGGUGAAAGCCGUAAGCCGCAAGGCAUCUGUGAAGGUGCUGCAUGGUUGUCGUCAGCUCGUGCCGUGAGGUGUCGGCUUAAGUGCCAUAACGAGCGCAACCCUUGUUGUCAGUUACUAACAGGUUCCGCUGAGGACUCUGACAAGACUGCCAUCGUAAGAUGUGAGGAAGGUGGGGAUGACGUCAAAUCAGCACGGCCCUUACGUCCGGGGCUACACACGUGUUACAAUGGGGGGUACAGAGGGCCGCUACCACGCGAGUGGAUGCCAAUCCCCAAAACCUCUCUCAGUUCGGACUGGAGUCUGCAACCCGACUCCACGAAGCUGGAUUCGCUAGUAAUCGCGCAUCAGCCACGGCGCGGUGAAUACGUUCCCGGGCCUUGUACACACCGCCCGUCAAGCCAUGGGAGCCGGGGGUACCUGAAGUGCGUAACCGCGAGGAGCGCCCUAGGGUAAAACUGGUGACUGGGGC
rnacentral:rRNA from 1 species